CCUGGCCGAUGAUGAUACCCUAACUGACUGCAGACUGUUGGAUGAAGCUUGCGGAUAUGGGACUGAGGCUGGAA